CACGUAGGGGUGCGAGCGUUGUCCGGAAUUAUUGGGCGUAAAGAGCUCGUAGGCGGUGUGUCGCGUCGGCCGUGAAAACCUGCAGCUUAACUGUGGGCUUGCGGUCGAUACGGGCAUCACUGGAGUUCGGCAGGGGAGACUGGAAUUCCUGGUGUAGCGGUGAAAUGCGCAGAUAUCAGGAGGAACACCGGUGGCGAAGGCGGGGUCUCUGGGCCGAUACUGACGCUGAGGAGCGAAAGCGUGGGGAGCGAACAGG
rnacentral:rRNA from 1 species